GUGUCAGCAGCCGCGGUAAGACAGAGGGGGCAAGCGUUGCUCGGAAUUACUGGUCGUAAAGGGCGCGUAGGCGGGAUGGCAAGUCGGUCGUGAAAUCCUUCGGCUCAACCGAAGAACGUCGAUCGAUACUGCUGUUCUUGAGGGUUGCAGAGGAGACUGGAAUUCCCGGUGUAGCGGUGAAAUGCGUAGAUAUUGGGAAGAACACCGGAGGCGAAGGCGGGAUGCUGGGCCGACUCUGACGCUGAGGCGCGAAAGCCAGGGGAGCAAACGGGAUUAGAUACCCCAGUAGUCC
rnacentral:rRNA from 1 species